rnacentral:rRNA from 1 species
CACGCAGGCGGUUUUUUAACGUCAGAUGUGAAAGGUACCGGCUCAACCGGUGACAUGCAUUUGAAACUGAAAGACUUGAGUAUUGGAGAGGCAAGUGGAAUUCCUAGUGUAGCGGUGAAAUGCGUAGAUAUUAGGAGGAACACCGGUGGCGAAGGCGGCUUGCUGGACAAAUACUGACGCUGAGGUGCGAAAGCGUGGGGAGCAAACA